rnacentral:ncRNA from 1 species
CACACGAAAAGGCAAACCCAGGGUAACCUGGGGACGCAAAGCCACCUGUCCAGCAUUCUGGAAAGAGGGGUUGUCGAA